GGAAAGGCAGAGGGUCCUUGGUGAAAUAGACACCCCCAUCUCCAUGGUUUAGUUCCACCAGCUGCUCUGGCUGUCAGGGGGACUGUGAGGUGUGACUAGGUGAGGCCAUCCCCUGGCAGCCAGGGCCCUUCCAGCACGGAGUUUGCACAUUUGGCUUGGUAAUGACACAACGGCUGCUGUGACCCUCCCAGAAUGGAGAAGCAGUGGCCAAGGCAAGACUUCAGCACCCAGGAGAUGUGAAGCUCAUUCAAAGAGUUGAUAAAGUGCUGCAGUUUGAAAGUUGCUGUAGAACAUUUCAACAGAACAAAUGAGAAAUUACCAGCUCUUAAUCGGGACAGGCAAGGUAAGGUAUUGUCUUGCAUCAAAAUUUUUUUAAUAUUUAUUUAUUUAUCUGAAAGUCAGAGUUACACAGAGAGAGAAGGAAAGGCAGAGAGAGAGAGGUCUUCCAUCUGCUGGAUCAUUCCCCAACUGGCUGCAAUGGCUGGAGCUGCGCCGAUCCAAAGCCAGAUCCAGGAGUUUCUUCCAGGUCUCCCACAUGGGUGCAGGGGCCCAAGCAUUUGGGCCAUCUUCCACUGCUUUCCCAGGUCAUAGCAGAGAUCUGGAUCAGAAAUGGAGCAGCCAGGACUUGAACUGCCACCCAUAUGGGAUGCCGGCACUGCAGGUGGUGGCUUUACUGGCUACUCCACAGCACUGGGCCCUCAAAUUUAAAUUUAUUUAUUACGUAAAAGAGAAAAGUUUAGAU